GUCAUUGGAGGAAUGCGUCUCCAUGGAAUCUGACUGCUCCGUCAUAGAGUUGUCUGGAAGAUUUCAAACAGAUGGAGAAAGACGUUGCUGCCCGUCGAGACUGGGGAUGCACUGCGCAUACUGGGAGAGCUGCAGGAAAUU